AAAAAUUUUUUUCUCCUUACGGGGGAGACAGUCAUGAGACGUGAGUAUAAGACCUGAGUGUAAAGACCUUAGGGUGAAGCAAUUGGAGGGCAAGCUUUGGUGCCAGCAGCCGCGGUAACUCCAACUCCAAGAGUGUCUAUGGUGGAUGCUGCAGUUAAAGGGUCCGUAGUCGUGAAUGCAAUUAAAUGUCGUUGUUCAAUAGCGAUGAGUUUGCUAAUGUUUGCGGAACGGAUAGGGAGUGUAGUAUAGACUGGCGAAGAAUGAAAUCUCAAGACCCAGUUUGGACUAACGGAGGCGAAGGCGACACUCUUAGACGUAUCUUAGGAUCAAGGACGAAGGCAGGAGUAUCGAAAGUGAUUAGACACCGCUGUAGUUCCUGCAGUAAACUAUGCCGACAGCCUGUGUGUGAGAAUACGUGGGCGGGAGAAAUCUUAGUGUUCGGGCUCUGGGGAUAGUACGCUCGCAAGGGUGAAACUUAAAGCGAAAUUGACGGAAGGACACUACCAGGAGUGGAUUGUGCUGCUUAAUUUAACUCAACGCGGGAAAACUUACCAGGGUCAAGUCAUUCGUUGAUCGAAUACGUGAGAAUGGCAGGGGGGUGGGUGGG
rnacentral:rRNA from 1 species